rnacentral:lncRNA from 1 species
UUCCGGCCGCGCCAGUUGCGCCAGCUAGGGGACCGGUUUAGUUGACAGAGGCCGAGCAGGAGCGGUGGACAGAGAGGUUGGCCCGUUUCCGCCGUUUUGAUCACCGAUUUUCAAUGGCAGUUGCACUGAGGCCUGGAUUGUCGAGGGAUGGGUCAGUGCGAUGGAGAAGUUAUUUGAGGAUUUGUUUAUUCCAGAGGGGGAGCAGGUGUCUUUGGGAGUCCAUUGCUUGGCAGGUGAUGCCCACGUCUGGUGGAGGAGAGUGAGGAGAGAGCAGGGACUGGUGGCAUUGCAGCUGGGAUGGGAUGAGUUCUGUGGAAUGCUGUUUGGGAUGUUCUUUCCCAAUNAAGUGUACCCCCUGUUGUAGAGCAGAGGGCCCGACCGGAGGCGAGUGCAUCCCUGGAUUUGAGUGCACAGUUAGCUGCCCUCACAGAGGUGACGAGGCAGCAGGGGGAGAUGUUGCAGAGGUUGUGUGAGAGGGUGGCUCAGACAUCGAGUACAGUACCGAAAGCACCAGAGCAGGUCAUUCCGCCUCCGACUACUCCAAUGGCCGCACCAGCCGUAGCUGUACCACCCCCAGCGGAGUUUCCGGCCGCGCCAGUUGCGCCAGCUAGGAGACCGGUUCAGUUGACGGAGAUCGAGCAGGAGCAGUGGAUAGAGAGGUUGGCCCGUUUCCGCCGUUUCGAUCCGCCGAUCUUUGAUGGCAGUUGUACUGAGGCUUGAGUUGUUGAGGGCUGGGUCAGUGCGAUGGAGAAGCUAUUCGAGGAUCUUUUCAUCUCUGAGGGGGAGCAGGUGUUUUUGGGAGUCUAUUGUUUGGCAGGUGACGCCCACGCCUGGUGGAGGAGAGUGCGGAGAGAGUAGGGACUGGUAGCAUUACAGCUGAGUUUGGAUGAGUUCUGUGGAAUGCUGUUUGGGAUGUUCUUUCCCAACAGUGUGAAGCAGAAGCUCGAGGAGGAUUUGAGGAGGCUUCAGCAGGGGGAUCGGCCAGUGCAGGAGUACGUUCGAGAGUUUACUCGACUCCUGAACUG